rnacentral:rRNA from 1 species
GACGAACGCUGGCGGCGUGCUUAACACAUGCAAGUCGAACGGAAAGGCCUGCUUUCCCUUGUGGAUUGCGGGUACUCGAGUGGCGAACGGGUGAGUAACACGUGAGUGAUCUGCCCCCAACUUGGGUAUAAGCCUGGGAAACUGGGUCUAAUUCCCGAUAGGACUGCAGGGUGGUGCCUGUGGUGGAAAACGAUUUUCUAGUGGUUGGGGAUGAGCUCGCGGCCUAUCAGCUUGUUGGUGGGGUAAUGGCCUACCAAGGCGGCGACGGGUAGCCGGCCUGAGAGGGGGGACGGCCACAUUGGGACUGAGAUAAGGCCCAGACGCCUACGGGAGGCAGCAGUGGGGAAUAUUGCACAAUGGGCGGAAGCCUGAUGCAGCGACGCCGGGUGGGGGAUGACGGCCUUCGGGUUGUAAACUCCUUUCGACCGCGAGGAAGCCACCUGGUUGGAAGGGUGGUGACGGUAGUGGUAGAAGAAGCACCGGCUAACUACGUG